rnacentral:lncRNA from 1 species
UGUUUUUUUCUUCUCUAUUAGCGUUCUUCUAUUUCGGUUUGUCUUCAAGUUUAUAUUCUUCAACAAGGGACGAGCCAACAUCACAUUUCUUGUAAUCAUCUGUAUUAAUCAGAACAAAAGAAGUUGGACUAAGGGAACACUAUUUAUACGCAAUUACCAGCUCCAAAUCUAACCAAAAUCAAUCCCCUAAAACUUUGUUGUCGAUGAGCAUCAAUCCCGUCGAUGAGCACGAUUUGCAAGACAGAGAAGCCAGGAGACGAAUUGCGGAAGUUUGGGAAAAACUCGCGAGCCCGAAUAGCGUCGAUGGUGUGGAUGACCCGUUGUUUAAUGUAAUCGGAUCCGGGUCGGAUUUUACCGAGGUGAUGGAGGAAAAAGAUGAAGAUCGUUGCUUUCAUCUCUUAAACUCAGAUUCUGAAAAUGCUCCCAAAUUCUGAAAAUCUAAACAAAAAAAACCCAAUUUUUUUCUAAUUCAACAAACCAUAAUUUUUCCAAAUUGAUUAAACCAAAAACAAAUCGAUAAAGUCCAUUAAUUUGUACCUUGAGCAAGUGUUAAUUCGCCUACCAAACACAGAGGAGAGAAAUUUUUUUUGGUCGAAAAACAGAGAGAAAGAAUACGGGAGAGAGAAAUAAAAAUGAGACAAAAUGAUUAAAAAAGAAAAAUAAUUCUGCCCACUCACCGUCGUCCACGUGUCCGACGAGACGGUCUCGUCCGGUCCUAAUAUAAGGAGCGCUCCGUUCAGUUUUUCGUCGAGAUAUUAUUAAAAAUUAGUCGACGCAUAUGAAACUGUGCCGGCAAGAUGGUUAAAUUCCUCUACUGAAGAUGCUCUCAGAGCCGUGACUGAACCGUGAGUAUGUAAUAAAAAAGCAAUUGUUUUAUUUGAAAAUUAUGUUUAUACAUUUAAUUUUGACAGUAUAUGUUGAGUCAUUUUGUUUGAAAAGUUCAUGACAUUUGAAACUUUAUUAUCAUAUGUAUUUUUAGAGAAUUUUCGCUGCCUCAACAGCUAUAUUAUCUGUGUUUUGC